rnacentral:rRNA from 1 species
AAUAUUGGACAAUGGGCGAAAGCCUGAUCCAGCCAUGCCGCGUGUGUGAAGAAGGUCUGCGUAUUGUAAAGCACUUUAAGUUGUGAGGAAGGGUUGUAGGUUAAUACCCUGCAAUUUUGACGUUACCAACAGAAUAAGCACCGGCUAACUUCGUGCCAGCAGCCGCGGUAAUAAGAAGGGUGCACGCGUUAAUCGGAAUUACUGUGCGUAAAGCGCGCGUAGGUUGUUCGUUAAGUUGGAAGUGAAAGCCCCGGGGUUAACCUGGGAAUUGCUUUCAAAACUGACGAGCUAGAGUACGGUAGAGGGUAGUGGAAUUUCCUGUGUAGCGGUGAAAUGCGUAGAUAUAGAAAGGAACAUCAGUGGCGAAGGCGACUACCUGGACUGAUACUGACACUGAGGUGCGAAAGCGUGGGGAGCAAACAGG